AGUGCUCCUGCUGACCUUCCGUGUCUGCAGCCCGGCUUUGGACUGUGGAGAUGCCCUCAGCCUCUACUCAGUGGCUCCAGCCUCAUAUUUGCGUGCUAUACCUUUAACCUCAAGUCCUCUUGCUGCUAACUUAAGCUGCGACUGUCCAGGACCUGCACACACACACACAUGCACGCAUGCACACACACACACACAGAAGCCCUGACUGCCGAAACCCUCCAGCCCCAGCUCCAGCCCCUCAGGAGGGGACUGCGUGGGAGGAAUGACUCCAGCAAGCCGGCAGCUGACCCGUCUCCUGCCUGCACGCCUCCCGCUGUGGUCCACUGCCGGUGGUCUUCAGCUCUCUCCUCGUCCCACCCCCAUGGUCUGCUGACAGCCCAGCUCAGUGCAUCCCUGCCAUCUCUGCUCUACCGCUGGUCCUCCCAACAACCAACUUACAGGUUUGGGGGCACACGUGAAGGUUUGACAUAUAGUAAACACAUGUCAUGGUGGUUUGUUGUACAGAUUAUUACAUCACCCAGGGUUUCACUCCCGUCACCCAGACUGGAGUACAAUGGUGCGAUCUCAGCUCACUGCAACCUCUGCCUCCUGGGCUUAAGCGAUUCUCCUGCCUUGGCCUCCCAAGUAGCUGGGAUUACAGGUGCCUGCCACCACUCCUGGCUAAUUUUUGUAUUUUUUGUAAAGGCGGAGUUUCUCCAUGUUGCCCAGGCUAGUCUCAAACUCCUGAGCUCAAGCAAUCCACCCGCCUCGGCCUCCCAAAUAAGUGGAAUUAUAGGUGUGAGCCACCACGCCGGCCCUGAUGUAUCAAUAUUAAAACAUUUUCUUCAGCCUA
rnacentral:lncRNA from 1 species